GACGAACGCUGGCGGCGUGCUUAACACGUGCAAGUCGAACGGAAAGGCCCUGCUUUUGUGGGGUGCUCGAGUGGCGAACGGGUGAGUAACACGUGAGUAACCUGCCCUUGACUUUGGGAUAACUUCAGGAAACUGGGGCUAAUACCGGAUAGGAGCUCCUGCUGCAUGGUGGGGGUUGGAAAGUUUCGGCGGUUGGGGAUGGACUCGCGGCUUAUCAGCUUGUUGGUGGGGUAGUGGCUUACCAAGGCUUUGACGGGUAGCCGGCCUGAGAGGGUGACCGGCCACAUUGGGACUGAGAUACGGCCCAGACUCCUACGGGAGGCAGCAGUGGGGAAUAUUGCACAAUGGGCGGAAGCCUUAUGCAGCAACGCCGCGUGCGGGAUGACGGCCUUCGGGUUGUAAACCGCUUUCGCCUGUGACGAAGCGUGAGUGACGGUAAUGGGUAAAGAAGCACCGGCUAACUACGUG
rnacentral:rRNA from 1 species